CUUGUCUUGGGAGCACCCUUUGAUUUUACAUCUGUAAGUAAUUACCAGUUCAAGUAAUUGACCUUUAUGAUGUUGUAGCAGUUGAAAUAUCAAGAUUUCUCUAUUUUUGUCUUCCAGUGCGACUUUCCAAACAUACGGAGAUGGUGGGCUCUUAUUCUUCUGGAGAACUUUGGUGUUUUCUCUGAAAGUGCAGAAACCCUACAAGAGUCCCUUCCAUGUGAAGAACAAGCUACGCUUAGCAGCAGUGAGGCGGAGCUCCCAAUAAUCCGGCACAUGAAAGAAGCUGUGAAAUGGCUCCAUUCCAACAGCCAUCUGCUCAGGGGUCCAGUGGAAGAGCCUCUUUUCAUUUGAAUGAAUGAAGACCACAAGGAAAAGGCCCGCAACAAUCUCCUGGAACAGUCAGAAGCUUCCAGAGAGCCCUUUCUAUUUCAUUUUGUGUUCAGGGAUGACAUGGAGUUAUUUUUACAAGAAUGUAAGGACAAAAUGGGCCUGAGAGUGAAUGCCUCAUUUGAUACAUUUUAAGUUUAAUUUAUACAGGAUUGUCAUGAUAAAAUGGGCCUAUGGGUGAAUUGGUCAUUUGUUGUAUAUAUUUUUAUUGUUUCUUUUAAAAUGAUGCUUAAUUUUCUCUCUUUUUUAGUUUUUUGACAUGUUUUAUUUUACAUAAAGAAAAAUGCAUGCUGCACAUGUUCUUGUGAAAUAAAGUAUAUUUUAUAUAA